ensembl:lncRNA
GUGAGCACAAUUUAGGUCUUCAAAUAGACUUCUUGAAUAUUGGCCCUGUGUUGAAUUCUCUUCCAGUGAUUUACCCCAGGGUAGAGAUCCAACCAGUAAAUUCUGAAGGAGAUCAGCCCUGGGUGUUCUUUGGAAGGAAUGAUGCUAAAGCUGAAACUCCAGUACUUUGGCCAUCUCAUGUGAAGAGUUGACUCAUUAGAAAAGACUCUGAUGCUGGGAGGGAUUGGGGGCAGGAGGAGAAGGGGACGACAGAGGAUGAGAUGGCUGGAUGGUAUCGCUGACUCGCUGGACAUUCUGUCAGUGUGUUCUCUAGACUUCCCUGUGCUAUUCAGUGGGUCCUUUUGGAUUAUCUACCAGGAUCACUUGGCUUCUCGCUCCUGCUGGUCCGGCGGCGAGGACUCCUGGUUCUCAUCCGGCUCCCCAGGUCCAGUUCCUGACAGGGAACCACGACUGUCUUCAGGACCGCUCACUGCUCUCUCUGUCCGAGAUCAUGGUCAUCGUUUUCGUCACAGAGACUGGAAAGGAUCUGUUCUGAGGACUGCCUGGAGUCUCUGCAUCACCAGCAUCUUGAUGUGAAACUGCAGUAAUCUGAAAGAGACAAAUUUAACAAGAGCCACAGACCAGGAAUAUGAUCAAAGUGGAAUAAAGUCCUGAACAUAUCGGAACCUCAGACCAUUUUCCUGUGUCAGUAAAGAUGCCCAGUUUUAGGCAUGUUUUUCCCCCCCGAUCCACCCAUUUAAAUAAAGGCCAGACAC